rnacentral:rRNA from 1 species
UACGGAGGGUGCAAGCGUUAUCCGGAUUUACUGGGUUUAAAGGGUGUGUAGGCGGGUCUUUAAGUCAGUGGUGAAAUCUCCGAGCUCAACUUGGAAACUGCCAUUGAUACUAUUGAUCUUGAAUUUUGUUGAGGUAGGCGGAAUAAGUCAUGUAGCGGUGAAAUGCAUAGAUACGACUUAGAACACCAAUUGCGAAGGCAGCUUGCUAAACAAAUAUUGACGCUGAGGCACGAAAGCGUGGGGAUCAAACAGG